rnacentral:lncRNA from 1 species
AUUGACUUUUCAUAAAAAAAGUCUCUGGGGAAAUAAGUACAGAUGCUUUUAGCCUCUUUCUCAAGAGUUUCUGCUUUACAUUUCCAUUGAGAAGGAUUAAUUUCACGUGAAAGGGAAGCAUAGUUUUCCUUCUGUUUUCAGAGCUGAAAGCUGUGUGUUUUGAAGUAAUUUCAGUUCCUGUACAGGAAAUUUCUGAAUCCUAGUUUUUGCAGAAGCUUGGAGCAUGCCUUUUAUUUGGCCUUCAUUUCCUCCCUUUUCGAGUGAGUUUUCUUUUUACCUUUGUAGAUCGAUCUGUCUCUGUGCUGCUGCUGGCUUUUUUGCUGUGUCUUGCUGUUUUGGUGCUUUGGCGUUACCUGCCUCUAAACUCCCUGGACUUUCUUGACUGGCUGCUGCCCUUUUUCUUCCCCUGACAGGUGGCUUAUUUGUUUCCUCAUUUUUUGCAGUGGUACCCUGAGGUUCAGGUUUGGGUGGACGCCCUCUCCUGGUUUUUGCUGCAAGCGAUGGUCCUGUUUCAUCUGCAUUGUUUUCUUCUGCUUUCUGAUGAAUAUUCUCAGUUCCAGAUGCUGUUGCUGUUCUUUUUUUCCCACGUUCAGUACUGUUUCCUUGCGUAGCCUGGUCAGAAUUAAUUUCCUUAUUUUUCACAGGUUCUGUCUUUGCUGGUGUGACUGAAAUAAUUCGCACAGGGUUUUCAUCGUUUUCACUGACACCAGUUUCUGAUAUAUCUGAACUUUGUUCCCUUGAUCUGUUUCCUGCAGAAGAGCUCAGCUCAGAGUUUACACUGAUAUUGCUUCCAGUCUCUGAUCCUGUAGUUCUAAUAUACGGUCUCCUUCCAGUUGCAGACAAUGGUUUGUUUACUGUACCUAACACACCAGUUGGUUUUGGCUUUCCUGUCAAAAGAAGAACUCUUGUCUCUUCUGAAAUGUAAUUCCGGUCAUUGGAAAAAUCCUAUUAAAAAAACCCCAAAAAUUAAUUUGCAUCUGAUCUCUCAAUCUUGCUGUUGCUUUUAUUCAGACAUGUGAUUGAUUUCUCAAGUGCAAUGGCACUAAGCAGCCACAGAAUCACAGAGGGGCUUGAGUUGAAAAGGAC